rnacentral:rRNA from 2 species
UUAACGACUCUCGGCAACGGAUAUCUCGGCUCUCGCAUCGAUGAAGAACGCAGCGAAAUGCGAUACUUGGUGUGAAUUGCAGGAUCCCGCGAACCAUCGAGUUUUUGAACGCAAGUUGCGCCCGAAGCCUUUUGGCCGAGGGCACGUCUGCCUGGGUGUCACUC